rnacentral:rRNA from 1 species
AUCAAAAACAUAGGUGGUAGAAAAUAUUAUCAAUUUCUCCUGCCCGGUGUAAAGUUAUUAACGGCCGCAGUACCUUGACUGUGCUAAGGUAGCAUAAUCAAUUGGCUAUUAAUUGUAGUCUGGAAUGAAAGGAAGUAUGGAUAAUUGCUAUAAUUAAAUAAUGUUAUUUUAAUUUAUUUAGUAGGUGAAAAUACCUAUAAAAUUAAGAAAAAAGACGAGAAGACCCUUAGAAUUUUUAAUAAAAUUUGAUUUUAAACACUUGUUUAUGCUUUUGCUGUUUAUUUCAGAGUCUAAUAAAAUUAUUAAAUUUUAUUAUAAAUAAAAGAAAACAGUAAUUGUUGAACUUGAUAUAAUUCAAAUAAUUUUUUGUUGGGGCGACAAGAAAACAAAAGUAAGAACUUAUGUUUGGUUAUAAAAUUUUAAUUUAUAAUCGACUUAGUAUUUAAACUUUUCUAUAGAUUAAAUUUAAAUUUAUUAUUCUUUUAGUUUAAUUAUUAUUUUUAUUAAUUUAUUAUAUGACGAUGUUAUUAUGAAUAGAUAAAUUACCUUAGGGAUAACAGCAUAAUGAUAUUAAAUUAGUUUGUGACCUCGAUGUUGGACUAGGAGCUUUAGCACUAGCAGUGUAAAAAGAGUGUUCUGUUCGAACAAAAUUAUUUCC